rnacentral:tRNA from 1 species
CAAGAUGGUUGAAUUAUAAACAAUAAACUGUAAAUUUAUUUAUGAGGAUCUACCCUCUCUUGUA